AAGAAACUUGAAUUUUUUUGCUUACCUCAAACGAUCCCUAUGUAACAAAAAAAAAUAAGUCGAUCAGAUAUCAAUAGACACAUAUUCGAAAUAUUUUGUCUUGAAAAUGAAAGUUUCCAUAAUGAUCGUAUUUUUUAAUACAAAAGUGGUUUGAUCAAACAACUACAAUCAUAUUUUUUGUGCGUUGAUUGAAUCUUUAGAUGGAAAAAAAAUAACUAACUAACUUUGACCUCCAACCAAGUCUUGACACCUAAGCAUUUAUUUUUGAAAUAUGUGUACUUAGAAUUACUAGUACAGCAUCUAAGUCCCUCCCCUCUUUGGAUUAUGGCAACUUUGAUUUUUCUUUUCAGAGGUUAAAUAUUCUAUGUUUUUACGCUCCGAAUGUUUUGGGCAUGAAAUAUUUUCUUUAAAAACUAUUUUUUGAAAAAAGAAUUUUAUAAAAAUAAAUUUGAUUUUGGCGUUUGUCUUGACAUGGAUCUAUUUUUUGAAAAUUAAUUUCUAUUGUUUGUUUAGCAUAGAAAAUCACAAAAAAUUAAAAACACUGAUAACCAAUAGCCAAUAAAAGAGUUUUUUUUAAUCAAAAAAAGGUUUUUUAAAAAAUAAAUUAUUUUUUACAAAAUGAAACAGUUUUUAAACAAAAAAAAGUUUUUUUCUAAAAAAAAGAAAUUUAUUUUAAAAAAGCUAAACAACUUUAAAAAUUAGUUUUCAAAAAAAUAAAAAGUUUUAUAAAACAGUUUUUUUUAAAUAAAACUGUUUUACAAAACAAAUUUUGAAAAAAUAAAGCCGUUUUUUAAAACGUUUUUAAAAAAAGCAAUUUUUGAAAACCGUUUUUUUAACAAAACAGUUUUGUAAGAAAUAAAACAGUUUUUUUUAAAAAAAAACUAAAACAUUUUUUUUUUCAAUUUUCUUAAAAAAAUAAAACAGUUUUUUUUUUCAAAAAAUAAAAUAGGUUUUAAAAAUAAAAAUGUUUUUUUUAAAUAAAACAGUUUUUUUUAAAAAAAUAUAAAAAAAUUUUUCACAAAAAUUAUAACAAAUCUUUUUUUAAAAAUUAAAUAGCUUUUUAAAAAAUAAAACAGUAUAUAAAAAAAUAAUUUUUUUUAACAAAUUGAAUAGUUUUUAAAAAAGCAGCUGUUUUUUCAAAAACAAUUGUUUUUUCAAAAACAAUUGUUUUUCUGGACAAAUAUUUUCAGAAAAUAAAACAGUUUUUUUUUAAAUAGUUAUAUUUUCAAAAAAAAAAUCCACUAGAAAUAGUUUUUCGAAAAAACUGUUUUCAGAAAAUAAAGCAGUUUUUUUUUUAAUAAAAAUAGUUAUAUUAUGUGCGGUGGUGGUGGUGAUCAAGCUCUGAAAAAUGAUUUCUUUAAUAAAAAUAGAGAAAAUAUUUAUGUAUUUUUUGUUGACUAAAACAUAGAUUCUGUUGAUUUUUUUUAUUUUCGUAUUGUAAACGGUAAAAGUUAUUAAACAUACUUUCUAUAAAAACAUUUUUGCUCAAAACGGAGCAUUCGUGUGAAUGGCAUGGAAAAUAUCCCUUUCAUGGAAAGAGAAUAAACCUUUUCAUAUUGAUCAGUGAUUGCCAGUGGUCCCAAAUCGGCAAAUCCCAUGGAGGAAAAAGGUCUUUGGAUUUGUGCCUCACAAUUUUUCUUCUGAUGCCCAUUGGAAUAAGUAAAAAAAACAAAUUUAUACUAUUUGUAUUUUAUACUAUUUCAAAAUUUUGUAACUUUUAUACUAAGUAUUUUAGAUGUAAUUAAUUUUUUAAAUGAUAUAAAAAAUAAUUAUUAAAUGAACUUAAUUCAUUUUCAUUUAAGACUUGUUUGAUAACUAAAUUUAGCACUUAAAAUUGAAUAUAUUAAAUAAAACUGAAUCAAGUUGGUUUGACAAUUAUAUUGUGUGUCACAUAAUAUUUUAAAUGCCUCUUAAAAAAUUUAAAAUAAUUUAAGUAAUUAGAUAGUUACUUAAUUUGAUUGAAUUUGUAAAUAUUUGUGCAUAAACAUUAAUGUGCACAAAUAUAACUCUACCACCGCCACUGCCACCUUCACCACCCUCUCUCCACUACUGCUCCCAUGUGCCAUUACGACUACCACGACCAAUCCUCCACCUCCUACCACCACCCACCACCACCACUACAAUGAACACCAUCAUUCCUUCAUCGCCGAUGUUGCCCUUGCCACCACUCUUCACCCCAGUUACCACUCCACCGUUAUAACCACCGCCACUAUAGUACCACCACAACCACCAUCCUUCUACUACCAAUAUCACCACCACCACCACCAUCCACAACCAUUGAAACACCACCACUUCUACCGCUAUCGCCAUUGCACCCUCCGUCUCCACCACCAUCUCCUUUGCCACCAUUUACCUCCACCAUUCCACCAACACACUACCACCAUACCCCCACCACCAUCCAUCUCAACUAACAUCCCACCACUACCACCACCACCACCACCACCACCAUCCUCUGCCACCUCCAUUACCCAUUCUAUCACUUCCAUACCUCCGCAUCACC
rnacentral:lncRNA from 1 species